ACGCCCUCUGUAGGCGUGUCGCUGCUCGUGUCGUUUUCAUUGGUCCCCUACUGUUUCAAACUUGUGCUUCAACCGGAAGCAUUACAUGUCCCGUACAUGGACAAAACAGCUAAAAGUUCUUAACCCUUGACAGCACAGUGCAGUCGCUAGUUCACCAUGAAAGGAACCGCUCAAGUCAAGGUGGUGACAUCAGGGAGGCUGACAGGAGGGGUCAAAGUGCAGCUGUCCAGGAGACGGUGAGUAGCCUUUAUUCACCUUCUUUUACUUUAUAUUUCUUAUUUAUGAUGUGCUGUGCUCCUCUAACUUGUGUUGUUAGAGGGACUCAUCCAGGACCGGCAGCCUGCACUGAGCCAGCCUACUCCCUGUACUCCACAGACUCUGAAGAGCAGGUCACUUCUCUCCAUCAGGGUCUGGACAGAUGUGCUGCCUUGCUCGGUGGCAUCCUUCAAGCUGAGAAGGCAGCUCCUCCCAGAGCAGUGAAGGGUGGAGCAGCUAAAUCAAGACCAUCUACCUCACUGAGGAAGAAGCCCAUCAACAACACAGUGCAGCGUGGAGCAGGCAGAACACCUGCAAGAACAACUCGUCAGUCUGCUGCUGCCGCUGCCCUCUCGCCACAGAAGCUCCAUCCACUUCAGACACAACCUCCCAACCUGCUGCAGCACCUCCGCCCCACCACCCCUCCACCCCAGCCCUCCAUCUCUCCCUCAGGCCAGCUGCUUCUCCCUCAGACUGAAUGUCAGGCUGCUGCUGAAGUUCCACACGCACACUGUGUGUCCGAGUGUGAUGGAGAAGAGGACGAGUUUGUUCCCGUGAGAGACAUCAAUACCCAAAGCAGUGUCGUGCACACAGCUGUCAGACACACACACUCGCACGUACACACCUGUACCUUGAAGAUGUCAAGCAUGCAGCUGGAGCCUGGACAGAGCGCUGAAGUUCCUCAGGACACACAGAGCGAGGAGGAUGGCAGUGCAGAGACGCAAGAGAAAGUGAAGACGGUUCAGUGUCUGCUUGGAGAACUCAAGGCUCUGAUUGCUGGACGAGGCAGUGUAGCAGAGAGGCUGCUCUGUCAGCUGGAGCAGACCGUGUCUUCACCACGGACGGAUGUUGGUGGUCCAAACAUCACGACUGCACCGGACCCACCAUCACUACACAGCCACAACUCUCAGCUCCGCAGGUACCUCCGCUCAGAGUGCGAGUGCGAGUGCGUCCAUUUUAAUCAUAUAGACCAGGGGUCUUCAAUGUUUUUCAGGCCAAGGACCCCCAAACUGAUGGAGAGAUGGAGCAGGGACCCUCUACUAUAUAUAUUGUAG
rnacentral:lncRNA from 1 species